UCCCACAAUCCACAGUUUCUACUGAGACCAGCUGACUGUAGCAAAGAAAGGGUGUGAUCUGAUGUCAUCCGCUCCUCCUGCUCCUGCUCCCAGUCUCUCUGUUGGGUUGUAUUGCAGCAGCUGCACGGGGACAAAAUAAAUUCACGUCACCUGCUCCAGCAGAGACCUGGCCUCCUGUGACACUGACUCAGGGAUGUUGAGGGCGGUGUGGCGACUGAUGCCUGCUGGAUGGCAAUGGAGCAGAGACUGUGUGGAGGGAACAAAAUAGACGGAGUUCUGGCUGGGAUCCUGGCUGCAGUCAAGACUGCCCCAGGCAAGAUCUUAUCCUGCAAGGAUCAAGAGGCGCUGUGUGUGCCUUGGUGUGUGUGUGUAUCCCUGCCUGGACUGUGCCCAGACCAAAUCAUCAAAGGAGACAUCUGUGUGACAGAGUUUUUUUCCCAGGUGUGUAUUCAAACAGUAUAACACCAAGCUGACACCUCAACUUGUGUUUAUUCAUAUUCGAGGAACAACUGAUGGCUGAUAUGAAAAUAUGCCCACUGGCAAUCAGUUACCCUUUAUUCAAAUUAAAUAGACAAUAAAAAAACUGAAAGCAUCGCUGCACCUGCAUUCGGACACCUGCGUGUGCAUCUGCGUCCUUCAAGAGAACAGCAAGUUAUAAUUAGCAUGUGCAUCCAUAUAUGUGUGUAUAACAGACAAGUGUGUAUCUGUUGAUCCCCCCUCCCUCUUCUCCCCGGCUGUUUCAGAAGACGGUGCCUUAGACGGUUCCGCUCCUGAAACAGUGGAGUGCGGCAUCCCGGGAUCUGCCCCCGUCUUCACCUUCCACACCAAUGUGAGGACGGAAUGAUCUGAGCCCAACGAUGCACCGGGAGCCAGCAGAAAGGCCCAGGGAGAGCUGACCCCGUGGCCCAGCAGAUGGAGCUCAGGCUGGUGGAGAAAGUCACACCGACACCCCUGGCACUCCCUGAGAACCAGAGUAAGAGGCAGCAGCCAAGACGCACCUCACACACAUUCACAAACAAAACCCCGAACAACAAACACCCAAGCACAUACAGAAUCACACACAACUUGGCACGACCACAAAGAGUGUGUGAGAGUGUUGGAAGCCAAGACACCUACAGACGUCCCACGACGACUUAGUAACAAAGACAACAUUUUCAAAUACUUUUUU